UCGCAUUUUUCUCAUACGUUAUAAAGUAUAAAUCUAAAAUAAUAACUCCGUUUCUGAUAAAAAAAAUAAAUCAGGACCAUAAACUGGAUUCAUUUAUAAAAAUUUUUGCAUUUACUAGUUUUAAUCAUAAUUAAAAGAGCGGGCUACUACAUUUUCUUUAUUAUGUAUGAAAAGGUUAAAUUUGUAUAUAGUCUAUUUAAUGAUAACUGUAAAAUCAUCUCUUCAAGAUAUGGAAAGAUUUGUUUUUCUCAUAUAUUUUCGAUUUUUAUCUGUACAAUAUUUUAAUUUAGAUGUUCGUAAUUUUUUUAGGCUUGUUUGAAAAGUUCUACGUUAAAUAUUUUAUGUUAGAUGUUUGUAAUUUUUUUAUGCUUGCUCGAAUUGUUUUAUGUUAAACAUUUUAUGUCAACAAGAAUAAUUCAAAUAUUUAUUUCGAUGUUCGUAAAUUUUUAAUGCUUGUUCAAAAUAUUUUAUGUUAAAUAUUUUUACAAUUCUGAAUCAUAUAUCAAUAAUAUUAUUCAGGAAUAUAAUACUUAAUAAAUACUCACAAAUUUUCAAUGAACGGAGUAUAAUUUUUUUACGAACAAAACAUAAUUUCUAAAUGAACAAAUUAUAUUCAAAUUUUCUAAAAACUAAUAUAUUCUGAAUUGACCUUUCCUUACCGUUCCCUUUCUUCAAUUGAUCUCAUUCUGCAACUAAUUCCCCAAAAUUCCAUGGAAGAGGACUCGCCGAUUAAGAUGAGAAGAAUGGCAACUAAUUCUGCAAUUGAUCUCAUUCAUGGAAGAGGAUUUCCCCAAAAUUCUGAAAUUUCAGAUAUGAAAUUUUAGGGUGUGUGUUGAUGGGGGAAGAGUCGAGUGAGUCAGGGACUAAAGAGGUUGAAGGAGGACGUGGCGAUGGCGUGGCUGGUUGGGGGCUCCGGCGAGUAGUUAGGCUGGAGAUCCGAGACGGCGACGAUGUAUCGAGAUCUUGGUUGUACGAUUUGUAAUUCAGGGGUAGGNUGUGUGUUGAUGGGGGAAGAGUCGAGUGAGUCAGGGACUAAAGAGGUUGAAGGAGGACGUGGCGAUGGCGUGGCUGGUUGGGGGCUCCGGCGAGUAGUUAGGCUGGAGAUCCGAGACGGCGACGAUGUAUCGAGAUCUUGGUUGUACGAUUUGUAAUUCAGGGGAGAGGAGAGGGAGCGACUCAGGGAGAAUCAGAGGUGGUGGUGGUGGUGGUAAGUUGCAGCGGCGGUGAUGGCAUGGUUGGUUGGGGGAUCCGGCGAGUAGUCGGGCCGGACGUCUGGGACUACGACGAGGUUUCAAGAUCUUGAUUGUUCGGUCUAAAAUUCACGGGGGAAGAGAGAGGGCGAAUCAGAGGUGGUGGUGGGGGUGGUAAGUCGCGGCGGCGGAAGGAGAAGGGAACGGCAGCGCUUCUCGUCGCUCUCCGUUGGAAUAGAAAGGGAGAUGGGGUUGUUGAUGGUGAGAAUCGUGACGGCGACGACGGUCCUAAUGGCCACUGGCGGUUCAGCGAGGGGGAAGAAAUGAUGUGCAGUGGACCAGUGGUGGCGGCUGUGGCGGAAGAAGGGGAUGGAGAUUUGAUGCUCCAAAAUCUGUAAAUGGCAAUAAAUUUUAGCUGAUUUUUUUUUUUUNUUUACCUAUCAAUUAAAAAUAAUGGUGCGAUUUUUUCUAAAUUAAUUUUGGAUCUGAAAAGUCAUUUAAUGAUAACUGCAAGAUUAAGUGGUUUUAAUGGUAGAGAUUAAUUCUUUAAUCUCUAUACUUAGGGUCAUUCUCCAUUGAACCACAUCCUAUAUAUAUUUAUAUUUAUCUUUUUGACGUAAACGAC
rnacentral:lncRNA from 1 species